rnacentral:rRNA from 1 species
AACGCUAGCUACAGGCUUAACACAUGCAAGUCGAGGGGCAGCAUCAUCAAAGCUUGCUUUGAUGGAUGGCGACCGGCGCACGGGUGAGUAACACGUAUCCAACCUGCCGACNACACUGGGAUAGCCUUUCGAAAGAAAGAUUAAUACCGGAUGGCAUAAUUAUUCCGCAUGGGAUAAUUAUUAAAGAAUUUCGGUUGUCGAUGGGGAUGCGUUCCAUUAGGCAGUUGGCGGGGUAACGGCCCACCAAACCAACGAUGGAUAGGGGUUCUGAGAGGAAGGUCCCCCACAUUGGAACUGAGACACGGUCCAAACUCCUACGGGAGGCAGCAGUGAGGAAUAUUGGUCAAUGGACGANAGUCUGAACCAGCCAAGUAGCGUGAAGGAUGAAGGUUCUAUGGAUUGUAAACUGCUUUUAUAAGGGAAUAAACGAAUCCACGCGUGGAUUUUUGCAUGUACCGUAUGAAUAAGGAUCGGCUAACUCCGUGCCAGCAGCCGCGGUAAUACGGAGGAUCCGAGCGUUAUCCGGAUUUAUUGGGUUUAAAGGGAGCGUAGAUGGGUUGUUAAGUCAGUUGUGAAAGUUUGCGGCUCAACCGUAAAAUUGCAAUUGAUACUGGCAGUCUUGAGUACAGUUGAGGUAGGCGGAAUUCGUGGUGUAGCGGUGAAAUGCUUAGAUAUCACGAAGAACUCCGAUUG